UACGUAGGAUGCGAGCGUUAUCCGGAUUUAUUGGGUUUAAAGGGUGCGUAGGCGGACUGUCAAGUCAGCGGUAAAAUUGAGAGGCUCAACCUCUUCCCGCCGUUGAAACUGGUGGUCUUGAGUGGAUGAGAAGUACGCGGAAUGCGUGGUGUAGCGGUGAAAUGCAUAGAUAUCACGCAGAGCUCCGAUUGCGAAGGCAGCGUACCGGCAUCCAACUGACGCUGAGGCACGAAAGCGUGGGGAUCAAACAGG
rnacentral:rRNA from 1 species